GCCCUAUACACACGGAUAACAUACCGAAAGGUAUGCUAAUACGAGAUGAUAUAAGAAAUUCGCAUGUUUUUCUUAUCAAAGCUUUUGCGGUAUAGGAUGGACCCGCGUCUGAUUAGCUAGUUGGUAAGGUAAUGGCUUACCAAGGCGACGAUCAGUAGCCGACCUGAGAGGGUGAUCGGCCACAUUGGAACUGAGACACGGUCCAAACUCCUACGGGAGGCAGCAGUGGGGAAUAUUGCACAAUGGGCGAAAGCCUGAUGCAGCAACGCCGCGUGAGCGAUGAAGGCCUUCGGGUCGUAAAGCUCUGUCCUCAAGGAAGAUAAUGACGGUACUUGAGGAGGAAGCCCCGGCUAACUACGUGCCAGCAGCCGCGGUAAUACGUAGGGGGCUAGCGUUAUCCGGAUUUACUGGGCGUAAAGGGUGCGUAGGUGGUUUCUUAAGUCAGGAGUGAAAGGCUACGGCUCAACCGCAGUAAGCUCUUGAAA
rnacentral:rRNA from 1 species